AAAUGCACCAAAAUUAGGCAGAUGUUGAUAAACAGUGAAGAGAAUUCAAUAAAUAACAAUGUAUUUAUUGACUACUAACAAAUUAUGUAUUAAAAAAAAAAACAUAUUUGAAGAGAGAAAAUAAAUAAACAUCAAUAAAAAAUAAAAUACCAAAGUACAUCUUGCGUUACAAAGUGUAAAAAGUCCACAUCUCUGACUUCAUUCUGUGUCUUUCUUUCAGGAGAAACAUCUGAGGAGCAGGUGACGUCCUCAACCAGAAACAACUGAUUUGUGAUUUUAUUUUCAGGAUGCUCUUGGCCUUCUCCCGGAGGAUUGUGGGUAGAUUGCCGACGAUCCCGAGAAGAAGCGAGCGAAGUGAGACCCUUCAAACUUUCUUUGCCAUUCCUCAAUUCUGUUUUCCCCCAAACAAAGAUUUAUACAUAUUUAUAUGAGCCGAUUGACGGGAAGGUGGUCCGGAGGAGGGGAGCAGAAGCGGCGGAACUGCAGAGAAUCGUCCUUCAGCGACUGUCCCGCUCAGUUUGUUUGGAGUCGAACUGUCGCCCAUCUCACGCUUGACCUUGGGCACAGUGACACGGGUGAGUUCUGAAGCUUCGAUUUGACACGUCAAGAUGUUGCAGUAAUGCGAGAUAAUUUUGGGUUUUUUGCCCUCCUUGGAGCAAUCUGAAGUAAGGAAAUGUGGCAGAGUCCUUCUCCAGAGAUUACAGGUAAUACAGUCCAUUGCCCCCAUAAACAUGCUUGACACAAGGCCCUCAUGAUGGAGCGAUUGCUCCAGGAGAGACUUUUUCACACUUUAAUUUGCCUUAAAUGAACUAGAGAAGUCAGCGAGGGCUUUGAGAUGCUGCGCAGAGAGAGAGGCCGCGGUAAACUACCUCUG
ensembl:lncRNA